UACGUAGGUGGCAAGCGUUGUCCGGAAUUAUUGGGCGUAAAGCGCGCGCAGGCGGUCCUUUAAGUCUGAUGUGAAAGCCCACGGCUCAACCGUGGAGGGUCAUUGGAAACUGGAGGACUUGAGUACAGAAGAGGAAAGCGGAAUUCCACGUGUAGCGGUGAAAUGCGUAGAGAUGUGGAGGAACACCAGUGGCGAAGGCGGCUUUCUGGUCUGUAACUGACGCUGAGGCGCGAAAGCGUGGGGAGCGAACGGG
rnacentral:rRNA from 1 species